UAAAUACUCCCUCCGUCACAUAUUAAUUGACGCUCAAGCGGAUGUAUCUAAACGUAUUUCAGUGCUAGAUACAUCCGUUUUAGCGUCAAUUAAUAUGGGACAGAGGAAGUAUCAU
rfam:Triticum aestivum genome assembly, contig: Triticum_aestivum_CS42_TGACv1_scaffold_471491_6AL